rnacentral:rRNA from 1 species
UUAGACAGCAUUACCUGUGUGACUUUGAACACGUCCAGUCUCAUCUGAUCUUGGAAGCUAAACAAGGAUGGGUCUGGAUAUAGUUAGAUGGGGGACUGUGGAAUACCAGGUGCUGUAAG